ACUGUUGUCAGUCCGCCACGCAAGGUGACUGUUCCGUUCCUCCUGUUUUGAUAGAUUAUAAACAAAAUAUAGUGCUUGUACUUAGCUAAUGGAAUUUUAUUCUUCAAUUGUUUUGUCAUCCAAUUUUGAAUAUGUUUAACAACUCUGACUUGAUACUAACUAUUAGUUUUUACAUUUUAUUAUGCAUAUUAUUGGGGUGUGCUCAAUCAACAAAUUCUAUAUUUCCAGAGAAAGACAGACGAGUAAGUAACAUGCCCGUUAGGUUUCAUCCUUGGUUUGCUCUGUGGAAAUUAUUGCAGUAUCCAGUUUAUUCCCUCUCUUAUUCUGUGGAUUGGUGGAACUUAAAUAAAAAGGUUUUCUUGCUAAUCAUUUUAUCCUAUGACCUCCAAAAAUGAAAAAUGAAUGAUAAAUUAGGCAGGAAGCAUAUUCUAUAUUGAAUCUUCAAGUGAAAGAAAUGGACAUUGUAAAUGAUAUAUUCUUUUGAUAUAGUCCAAAUGUGACCUAGAGGUCAUGGGUUUAAGUCAUGGAAACAGCCUCUCUGCAAAG
rnacentral:misc_RNA from 1 species